rnacentral:rRNA from 1 species
AUGAAGACCUUGUUCAUCUUCUCUCUCCUCACCCUUGCAGUUACCGAUGCUGUUGCGCAGCUAGACACUACCCGUAGCCAGUGCUCUGAACAUUGUCAGCAGCAGCAACAACCAUGGCAACAAUGGCGGCAGCAGAUGUACCCAUGUGUGGAAUUUCUGCAGCACGAGUGCAGCACAGUGACACUGCCAUUUGUCCAGUCCCGUAUGUGGCAACUUAGCAGCUGCCAUAUAAUGCGACACCAGUGCUGCCUGCAGCUAGCACAGAUCCCGGAGCAGUUCAGGUGCCAGGCCAUCCAUAGCGUGGCUCAAGCUAUCAUGCAGCCGCAGCCCCAGCGGCAAGCUCCGGUUGAGAUCAUGAGGAUGUCGCUUCAGACCUUGCCGUCGAUGUGCAACGUGUAUGUGCCGGCAUACUGCAACCGCCACGGCAUCCCCAUGGCCAGAUGCAGCGGUGGAUGGGUCUGUGAGUCAAUGUAG